AGUGAACGCUGGCGGUAGGCCUAACACAUGCAAGUCGGACGGCAGCACAGUAAGAGCUUGCUCUUACGGGUGGCGAGUGGCGGACGGGUGAGGAAUACAUCGGAAUCUACUUUUUCGUGGGGGAUAACGUAGGGAAACUUACGCUAAUACCGCAUACGACCUACGGGUGAAAGCAGGGGAUCUUCGGACCUUGCGCAAUUGAAUGAGCCGAUGUCGGAUUAGCUAGUUGGCGGGGUAAAGGCCCACCAAGGCGACGAUCCGUAGCUGGUCUGAGAGGAUGAUCAGCCACACUGGAACUGAGACACGGUCCAGACUCCUACGGGAGGCAGCAGUGGGGAAUAUUGGACAAUGGGCGCAAGCCUGAUCCAGCCAUACCGCGUGGGUGAAGAAGGCCUUCGGGUUGUAAAGCCCUUUUGUUGGGAAAGAAAAGCAGCAGGUUAAUACCCCGCUGUUCUGACGGUACCCAAAGAAUAAGCACCGGCUAACUUCGUG
rnacentral:rRNA from 1 species